rnacentral:rRNA from 1 species
UACGUAGGGUGCGAGCGUUGUCCGGAUUUAUUGGGCGUAAAGAGCUCGUAGGCGGCCUGUCGCGUCGGAUGUGAAAGCCCCGGGGGCUUAACCCCGGGUCUGCAUUCGAUACGGGCAGGCUAGAGUGUGGUAGGGGAGAUCGGAAUUCCUGGUGUAGCGGUGAAAUGCGCAGAUAUCAGGAGGAACACCGGUGGCGAAGGCGGCGUCCUGGACCAACACUGACACUGAUGAGCGAAAGCCAGGGGAGCAAACGGG